CAUAACUCGGGCAUAUGAGAAGCCUGUAUUGACAUAUUAAGUUUUACAAUAAAUGGUAAAAACACUAGGACGGGAUAAACGCUACAAUAGCAAUACAAAGUAUACAGCAUGACACACAGUAACGCAACCUAUAUGCAGUUAAGAAUCACAUUUUAAUUCACAAGGUGGAUCACACCGACAGUAAUUCGACGUACGCUGUUACUGUAUAUAUAUCUAUCUAUGUCUAUAUUCAACUUAACACUGUUAUGCAUGUAUUGUAUUCU